rnacentral:rRNA from 1 species
AGCGAACGCUGGCGGCAGGCCUAACACAUGCAAGUCGAACGAACUCUUCGGAGUUAGUGGCGGACGGGGGAGUAACACGUGGGAACGUGCCUUUUGGUUCGGAAUACCUCAGGGAAACUUGUGCUAAUACCGAAUGUGCCCUUAGGGGGAAAGAUUUAUCGCCAUUAGAGGGGCCCGAGUCUGAUUAGCUAGUUGGUGAGGUAACGGCUGACCACGGCGACGAUCAGUAGCUGGUCGGAGAGAAUGACCAGCCACACUGGGACUGCGACACGGCCCAGACUCGUACGCAAGGGAGGAGAGGGGGAUCGAGCGAAAUGGGCGGAAGGCUGACGCCGCCAGGCCGGGUGAAUGAUGAAGGUCGUAGGAAAGUAAAAUUCUUUCACCGGGGACGAUAAUGACGGUACCCGGAGAAGAAGCCCCGGCUAACUACGUG